GGCACAGCAUCAUUGUAAUCUAUGAUGCAGUCUACUCCCGUGUGCACGAUCAAUGCCGCUCCGAGACAUAUGGCCCCCUCACGGACCAUACGGUCGUGUGCAAGAGGCCUUACAGUGAUUAUUCUUUAUUGACAUAAGAUUAGGCGAGCUCAAUAAGGACAAUGACAGGAGGACGUCACAAAAAUCUAUUACAGUUCUAUAAGUCCGCUACAUAUAUACAGUGCAUUCAAAAAGUCUUCAGACCAUUUCACUUUUUUCAGAUUUUCUUAUGUUGCUGCUUGUGCUAAAAUGAAAAAAAAACAAAAAACUUUUCCCAUAAUUCGGCACUCAAUACCCCAUAAUGAGCAAGUGAAAACUGAAUUUUACAAAAUUUGGGAAAAUCUAUUAAAAAGGAAAAACUGACAUUUUGCAUGGACAUAAGUAUUCACACCCUUUGUUAUGAACACUUGACAUUUAGCUGUGGGGCCUCCCAUUUCUCUGGAUCAUCUCUGAGAUGGUUCUACACCUUGAUUGGAGUCACCUGUGGUAAAUUCAGGUGAUUGGACAGGAUUUGGGAAGACACAGCCCUAUCUGUAUAAGGUCUCACAGCUGACAAUGCAUAUCACAGCAAAAAAGAAGCCAUGGAGAAGAAAGAACUGCCUGUAGAGCUCGGAGACAGGAUUGUGUGGAGACCCAAGUCCUGUCUGUAUAAGUUCUCAUAGCUGACAAUGCAUAUCACAGCAAAAAAGAAGCCAUGGAGAAGAAAGAACUGCCUGUAGAGCUCGGAGACAGGAUUGUGUGGAGACCCAAGCCCUGUCUGUAUAAGGUCUCACAGCUGACAAUGUAUAUCACAGCAAAAAAGAAGCCAUGGAGAGGAAAGAACUGCCUGUAGAGCUCGGAGACAGGAUUGUAUUAAGGCAUAGUUCUGGAGAAUGGUGCAAAACAAUUUCUGCUGCACUGAAAGCUCCCAGGAGCACAAUGGCCUCCAUGCAUUUUAAAAAGAAAAGAAGUUUGGAAGAACCAGGACUUUUCGUACAGCUGACUGCCCCACCAAACUAAGUAAUUGGGAGAAAAGGGUCUUGGUAAGAGAGGUAACUAAGAAUCCAACAGUCACUUUGGCUGAGCACCAAAGAUACUGUGUGCAGAUGGAAGAAACUUCCAGAAGGUCAACCAUCACUGCAGCCUCCACCAAUCUGGGCUUUAUGGCAGGGUGGCCAGAAAGAAGCCUCUCCUCAGUAAAAGACACAGGAAA